CACAAGCGGCGGAGCAUGUGGAUUAAUUCGAUGCAACGCGAAGAACCUUACCUGGGCUUGACAUACACCGGAUCGGGCUAGAGAUAGUCUUUCCCUUUGUGGCUGGUGUACAGGUGGUGCAUGGUUGUCGUCAGCUCGUGUCGUGAGAUGUUGGGUUAAGUCCCGCAACGAGCGCAACCCUUGUCUUAUGUUGCCAGCAUUUGGUUGGGGACUCAUGAGAGACUGCCGGGGUCAACUCGGAGGAAGGUGGGGAUGACGUCAAAUCAUCAUGCCCCUUAUGUCCAGGGCUUCACACAUGCUACAAUGGUCGGUACAACGCGCAGCGACACUGUGAGGUGGAGCGAAUCGCUGAAAGCCGGCCUUAGUUCGGAUUGGGGUCUGCAACUCGACCCCAUGAAGUCGGAGUCGCUAGUAAUCGCAGAUCAGCAAUGCUGCGGUGAAUA
rnacentral:rRNA from 1 species